rnacentral:lncRNA from 1 species
ACGGUGUACAUUUAAAUGGUUCCGGUGAGGUUGCGUUGGAAUGUAACAUACCGGAUUUUAAGUCUAAAGGUGAAAAUAAAUAAAAAUAGUAUGAAAUACUAUUUUAUUGGGUUUAGAGAAGUGAAAUAUAGAUUGAAAAUGACCUGUACUGAAAUCGGAGCGAAAACAGAAGAUUUAGAAUUUUCUGUAAGAAACGGGGCAAAUAAAUUAGCAGAAAAUGCACAGUGUCAGAAAAUUAUAAAAACUGAAGGAUAUGUCAAAAAAUAUUUUUAUGAGGUUAGAUUUAAAGUUUCAUAACAUUCUGACACCCGUAGAGUGAGAAAUAAAAUCCGACAGUCAUCUGAUAAAGAUUACAAUUCGGUACAGUUUUCGGUGACUAAACGGGGUCGAAACUGAAAACUUAAGAUAUAUUCUUACUCAGUACAUUAAACCGAGCCUGCCUGUCAAAUUUGAGCGCAAACGGACGUUCAGAAGGGUUCCAACUGUUCCGAACUGCUAAACUGCUGUCCGAGGUGAAUAGUGUAAUUGUUGAGGGACUAAAUCGUAAAAAGGACUUAAUCCCUUCUUCUCCUCCCUCAACCGUGCGUACACAACCUGCACACACACACACACAACACACGUAUGGAAAGGAAAAGAGAAAACUCUCCCUUUCUCUCUCUAAAUCUCUCCCAAAAUUGAUGAAUUUGGUGGAGAAGCAAGCUUGGAAGCUGAUCUUCAUCUCCUUCACCUUCUUCCUCUCCAUUGGAGCUUGCUUCAGAGGUAAGCUUCAAACCCCUCAAUUUUUCACCUCUUACACAGCCCUCACUGGGCAUUCUGCGCGCUAAGGGACCGGUCUCCCCGACCUGGGACCGGUCCCCGGGGCCUCCCCCCGCGGACACGCGUUCGGGAACCGGUCCCUCCCCGAGAGACCGGUUCCCGGGAGACCGGUUCCUCUCAGAGAGACCGGUUCCCGAGAGCUGAACCUUUGGGACUUAGCCGAUUUUCGGCUCUUCUCACUGGUGUUGCAGGCUGGGACCGGUCCCUCCUCUGCCAGGGACCGGUUGCAUCAGCAACCCUACAGCCUUCAGUUGAUGGGACUGGUCUCUCACCUCGAGAGACUGGUCCCCGAGAGCAAUCCCAGCCCAAAAUGCAGAUUGCAUUAUUUGCUCUCGCGGACUCCAUUCCAAUGCACUUCUCGGUUUUCGUGCAUCCUUAGGUUUUCCAAAGCUUAUCCAUUCGACCCUUAGUCGAUUCUAGACGAGGUGCAACCCUUGGAUUUCGAGAGUUUACAUCGUUACAUUCUCCCCUCCUUAAAAGAGUUUCGUCCUCGAAACUCACUCAUUCUCACCCUCUUUUAUUCCUCGGUCCACUCCUCGAGUACUCAAGGGUUCCAAUGCACUUUUGUACUUUGGAGUGGCCUUUAUUCUCAUCGAACUCAUCUAAAGGCCCACGACGAAGAAUGUGAGACCACGUUUACUCACAUUUUCCUCUUGCAACAUUAAAAGUGCAUUAUCACUCUGCAAACCUCAAUGGCGGUGUGAGUCAAUACUUAAGACCCCACACGCUAACAUCACUAGCCACUCGGCUAGAGAAGGACCUAUUCCCUCGCGGUUCUAGCGAACAUCAUCACCGUUCGAGAUCAGGGCUACCCUUUCAUCCCUGUCACGCCCCGGGACCCGGCCUAGGCCCGCCCGGUGCGUAUCCAGACCCGCCAUAUGCCUACACAUAUAAGGCGUCUACAACAAUAGCGAAUAAAUGAACAACAAAUAGAGUGUAUCUAAAGAUAUCAGAGCAAGUAUACAGCUAAGUUCUUAAGCUUGUUGAACAAUCAGGUGGGAGAAUACAAGGAAAAACUUCAAUUAACCAUACCUAUAGUCGGCAAAACGAGGGUGUGUUUAAAAUAAAAUACUAUCGACAAGUCUAAGCUACAUAUAAGGGGGGUCUCUACAAAAAUGGUACAAGUCUCAAUCCUGCUCCAAACUAUCAAUCGCUGAAUAGGAGAGGUUACCUACCAUCGAGCUCGUAAUAUCCUCGCCUAGCUAACUCGGUGAAAAAGAAUGACCGUUUGCACGAGAUCGCCAUUCUCUCCAUAUUUCCUGCCCCGUCUGGUUGGAUCCCGAGCCAUCUUCUGCCUCUGGGUGAAAAUGGGAGAGGCUGAUCUGAAAUGGAAAACGAGUGGAACAAUCAGUGGAGGGCCUGGGAGCAACUAUAAUUUAUAGUUCCAGGGGUGGGGACAAUGUAAUCUGUAGCAUUAGCUAAAAUGCGAAUCCACUAGGGCACUAGAUCAAGAGGACAACCAGUGAGCAGAUAUAGAAAAAUUGAAAUACAAACUGCCAGAAAUAAAAGCACAUAUUAAAGAAAAUGGUCUAUACUGCGAUGCCACAAGUAUUAUGUGAUAAGAACAUGGUUAGCUUACUUUACUUCUAUCAUCCAUAUACGCAAUACAUACAUACUAUGUUCUAUCACGGCUAACCAAAGUAUGCUAUGAUGCAACAAGUAACAAUAGUUAGUCAUCGGUUCCUUCCUUGAUGCUUUAUACAUGUCCAAAUGUGUCAAUACUAUUGCUUGAAAAGUGCAUGUCUCAAGUAAACAACUACUAAGCCUAUCUAGUAGUGGUUAUUGUUAUAAAGUUAAUGUCAUUGUUCAAUCUUGUUUAGGACUACAGAAGUGUAGUCACGGUUGUGCCGCCUAGCUGCCUGUGGUAGCCACUCAUUCCACGCUAUGAAAGAGCUGUCCCGACAACGACCCUAAGGCGCCUGCGCCUAGCUGGCCCGUUUGGUUAGAUCGCUCNNNNNNNNNNNNNNNNNNNNNNNNNNNNNNNNNNNNNNNNNNNNNNNNNNNNNNNNNNNNNNNNNNNNNNNNNNNNNNNNNNNNNNNNNNNNNNNNNNNNAUUCUAAGCUUAGGAUCCACAGCUAUCCCAGUUUCAGAAUCACAUGGCCUAGAAAUGCCACUUCUCGAAGCCAAAAUUCGCAUUUCUUUAACUUUGCAAACAGUUUCUUUUCUCGAAGUACUUGUAACACCGCUCUCAAAUGGUCUUCAUGUUCCAUGUCACUACGAGAAUAUAUCAAGAUGUCAUCAAUAAACACUACGACAAAUCUGUCCAAAUAGGGCUUAAAGACACGGUUCAUUAAAUCCAUAAAAGCUGCUGGGGCAUUAGUCAAUCCAAACAGCAUGACUGUAAAUUCAUAAUGCCCAUACCGUGUUCUAAAGGCGGUUUUAGAAACAUCUUCAGGCUUGAUCUUGAGCUGAUGAUAGCCUGAUUGCAAAUCAAUUUUGGAGUACACUUUCGAUCCUUGCAGCUGAUCGAAUAAGUCAUCAAUUCUAGGCAAUGGAUAUUUAUUCUUGAUUGUGACUUUGUUGAUUUCUCGAUAGUCCACGCACAAUCGAAGAGAUCCAUCAUUCUUCUUAACAAACAAUACCGGUGCUCCCCAGGGCGACACACUUGGUCGAAUAAAUCCUUUAUCUAGAAGAUCUUGUAACUGUGCCUUCAGCUCUUUCAAUUCAGCGGGUGCCAUCCUAUAGGGCGCUUUAGAAAUAGGGGUAGUCCCAGGGACAAGAUCUAUCACAAACUCAACCUCCCUAUCAGGUAGCAUGCCCGGCAAUUCAGCUGGAAACACAUCCCCGAAUUCUCGCACAACCGGGAUAUCAUCAAUCUUGACGGCUUCUCCGUCACUCACAGAAAUGCUAGCCAAAUAGGCUACACAUCCUCUUCGUAUCAACUGUCGUGCUCGCAAAGAGCUAAUGGUCAUUGCGAACAAUGAACUCUGACACCCCUUAUAAACAAACUCUUGCUGACCCGGUUCUCUAAAGGUUACCGUUCUGUUCGUGCAAUCUAUGGUGGCAUAAUACUGUGUCAACCAAUCCAUACCCAAUACUACAUCAAACUCACCUAGUUUGUGUAGUGCCAAUAAAUCCACUGGCAUAAUCCAGUCGCCUACCCUAACUGGGCAGCGAGGGCAAAACUCACGAACAUCUAGGGUAUGGUCAGGUACAAUCACUCGUCCCAGAUGCAAAGUAGGUGCUAAAGGAAUGCUAUGCAACUCGGCGAACUGCCGAUCAAUAAAAGAAUGCGAAGCACCAGUAUCAAAUAAUGCACGAACACGAAUAUCAUAAAGCAUAAUAAUACCUGCUACGACCUCCUGUGCUGCUGCGGCGCCCUCGGUCUGGGCGGCAUACAUCCGCCCACUCGAACCCUGCUGCGAACUCUCCGACUGCCGCUGUCCUGGUGGUCGCCUAGACUGAUAAGGCGCUGUCGGGGUCCCCUGGCUCGGAGCUGAAGAUGCAGGUGCAGUCGCUGACGAGGGUGCAGGCAAAGAACCUCUCGGGCACUCUGAACGAAAGUGGCCCUCCUGGCCGCAAAGAAAGCACCUGCCCCCACGCUGUGGACACUGUGGCGGUACGUGAGGCCCACCACAGAUAACACAACGCGGCGGUCGACGACGCUCGGGUGCUCCACGGGGUGCUGAAGAACCUCGACCCCUCGACUGUCCUGACUGUCCCCUCGGAUACUUUGGCGGUCUCCUGAAGGACUGCUGACCACUGCUCUCAGCUGCUGGUCUCUUGCCUUUGCUUCGAUCCACAACAUCUCUUUCCUUCAUGAUUUCUGCCCCCUUCUCAACAAUCAAAGCCCGGUUCACGACGUCCCGGUAAGUGGAGAGGUUUGACGCCUGGACCAAUCUGAAGAUCGCAGGUCGCAAACCCACCUCAAAAAUGCGAGCCUUGUCCUCAUCAUCUCGAACUACAAAAGGAACACAGUGCAGUAAUCGGGAGAACUCUCGCUCAUACUCUGCCACUGUCCUGUCCCCCUGCCUCAGGUUUCUCAGAUCCCUUUCCAUCUGUCUCUUUACACUCUGAGGAAAGUAAGUAGUCAACAACAGUUCCUUGAACCUGUUCCACGUAAUAGCAGACAAAUCAGCACGGGGAUCCUCCCGGAUGUCCACCCACCACCUGUAAGCCUCGCCAUCAAGGUGGUGUGUCGCAAACCAAACUCGGUACCGCUCCUCAACAAAAGUGUCAUAGAAUAGUUUCUCCAUAUGCAUUAACCAUUUUUCAACCACCCAAUGAUCUGCUUUCUCCCCAUCAAAGACACGAGGGUUGCAGCGACGGAAUUCAUUCAGUCGUUCCAUCAUCCGCUCUCGCUCCUCAACCCCCACCAUCUCGGGUAACACUGUCCCAGCUGCUGCUACAGGUACUGGUGGUGGUACUACUGUCUCCUGUCGGGUCUCUGCCCUCGGAGCUACUGGGGGUGUGUCAAGUACAGGUGACUGUGCUCUCACUGUGGUGCCCCUCUCUGGUGCUGUAGGUACAGAAUCUGGAAGUACAGAAUCUGGAAUCUCUCUGUCAGUCGUCUGCCGCAGUAACAGAUCCUCUAACCUCUUCAUCCUGUCCUCCUGUCGACGCGCAGCAUCCAUCUGCUGUCGUGCUGCCGCAGCCUGCUGAGUAACCAAAUCUGUCAACAUCGCAAGCUGAUCCUGCAACUCAUGGAUCCCACUAGAUCCCGACGUAACAGAAGUUCCCACUUCCUCUGCAUCCGCCGCCUCAGCUGCCCCGGCGGCUUGCGAACGAGUCAACGGCAUCUUAAACUGCAGCACAAAAAUAAACAUAGGUAAAUAAACCCUAUACUAUUGAAUCCUCAUUGAGGAUAUAAACCAGCUAAUCAAGCGAAAGUAAUGAAAUGUAACACGUACUAACUUCCGAGGUCACGUUGUCGGCCGCCAACGUGACCCUCUGCAAAGUGAGUACUUGCACAUCCCAAUCAAACUCCCACCAAAUGGAGUUUAUAAGUACCCAAUCAAAGCACUUUCGCUAACAACAACCUAGACUAGACAUCGUCUCUUACGUGCCUAUUCUUAUAGUCCAACCAGCCUAAGGUUUGCUAGGUCUACUAAGACUCAACCCUAGGCUCUGAUACUACUAUAAUCUGUCACGCCCAGGUACCAGCGGAAGCAUAUCCGGCACGUGCACAGACCCGCCAUACACCUGCAGUAUAUAAGGCGUCUACAAAGAAAGCAAGUUGAUAGGGAGUACAACAAAGAGAGUCCUAUCCUGAUAUCAGAGCAAUGUACAAGUCGAUAUACUAUCAGUAAAAGAACAAAGAGUACAUAAACCAAAGUCUCAGCAAAAGGAGAAAAAAGCAAAAACUAUAACAUCUGGAUCUACAACCUAUAUACAAUAUAGGGUAUACAAAUAUAUCUGUACAAAGGUAGUCACUCUAUAUAAUGGACAUCACCCUCGGCCGUAGCCCGAGUAGCAAGGUGAUCGACUAGCAUGCUCCUAGCAAAGUCUAGCUAGACGCGACUCCCUUGCCACGAUCCCUAGCCUCUCCUGUAGAUGGCUCUGUAAAAACAACCACCAAAAGGGCGUGAGAACUAUUAACAAUAGUUCCCAGUGGGUAAGCCGCCAGCCUCAGCGAAUUACACCACUAGGCUCAUGAUGUACUGAAAUAAAGAAAAGCAGUAACUGCAUGAUAUAUAAGUAUGCAAUGCUAACAGGUAGUGAGCAUCUAAUAUGCAUGUAAACAACUUGUAAUAAUAUGUAAUAGCUUUCUACAGUAAUGAAUCAUUUGCAUAAUAGGGAUAUGGCAAUCUCUGUAAUCAUGAACAUAGACGUGAAUAUGAGCACGAACAUGUAAGUGACUACUGUACACUUUAAUUAAUAAGCAUUCAUUACUGUCCUUUUUCAUUGAGUACUAUCCUUUCAUUCACAGGGACCUACCCAAGGUAGUCCAGCUUGCGCCGCGCCUAAUGGUCCCGUGGUAGUAUACACUCCCCACGGCAAUCCACUUCGGCACCCAAUCCCGCACGGGCGAGUAACUGUCGCGUAGGCCAACUCCGGAGUGCCGGCUUGUAGGGAGCUACCCUCACAAGCGUGUGUGAAUGAGCACGAUGGCAAGCAAGCAAAGUCCAUUGUCCACAUGUCCCAAUUUUCAUAUUUUCAUUGCAAAGUUCUUACUCUCGAUCCUCUGAUCGGAAUUUCAAUACACGAAUAGUAACAAGAGCUAGUAUCCACUAGAUUGUAAACAUGUAAAGGUAAAGCUAAAUCACAUGGCAUGAUAAUCUUUCCACUAGUAUGGCACUAUCAACAUAGUCAUGAGCAUGUCAUAGUUCUCUACGAUAGAGUCAAGAGAAUGUCAUUGUUCUCUACCUUAUAAGUGCAUUCUACACUUGUUCAUAAGUCAUUCAACUGAAUUGACUACAAAUAUAAAUACUUUCAUGUGUAAGUGUUCUCUACUUUGUAGAGACUUUAUUUCAAUUAUGUUCAACAUUAUGAUGACGAAUGUCAAGCCCCUUAUUAAUCACAUAAACACACAAGAAGACCAUUUCUAUAAUACAUAUAGAACAUAGGGGAAUUUCACUUGCUCUGGUUAGGUCCGACCCACCUAGUACUAGGCUCCAAAUCAACCAAGGAGUCCCAAAAAAUCAGAUCCACUAGGUCUCAACCCUGCUGAACACAAACAUCAACACCGCGUCAAAAGAACGACCGAAAAAUCCGAUUUCUGCCUAAAUUACACGUAAUACAAAGUAAUCCCUUAAAUCCCUGUUUUGGGACUAGUGUUAUACCUCAAGAUAAGUCUUCAAGAGCUCUCACAGGUCAACUAACGAUGAUCCAAGGCUCGAUCGCACUCUCGCUGCGAACAAAAUCAAAACAACAUCAAACUCGUCAUAUAUUAGCAAUUAUAGUCGGAAUCUUGCAAUUUCAACUUCCUAACUGAAAUUCUUACUUACCUUAGGGUAGAACAACUUCCAGACCAGCUUCAACGAGUACAAAUUCAGCUCAACGAAGCCCGAAGACCUGCUGCGAAGAAAUAAUCCCCAGUUGCAUCAAGUCGCUCCAAUAAUUGCAUUAAGUUCCGAUUUAGCUUCAUAAAUGGCUAAUUCUCUCAAUUAACCUUCAAAGAAGCUUAUCCCUAGUCUAAGGAGCUUAAUUCACAGCUAAAUAAUCCAACUUUAAUUGCUGAAAUCUCAGAGUAAAGCAACUAGAAGCAAUAACGCAAAAGCAACACAUAAACGACUACUCGAACGUUGAUAAUGGAGAAAAUCGAGUCGUUUACCUCUUCAAGCUUCCAACCAGCACCUCGCUGGUCCAGAGUUGCAAAGAACCUUCCAAAAUACUCUCUCACGCGUCCACGAAAGCUCUGCGACGCUCGCAAACAGCGAAGAACAAGCGCGGCGACGAAAACGAGCGAAAUCGUCGAAUUCUAUAUAGAGAGAGAAAAACCCUAGAGAGAGAAAGAGGAGAAGGUGAAGAAACCCUUUGCUGAGCUCUAGCACACUCCACUGAAGUCCCAGAGUCGUGCUGGGAUCAAAUAGAUAGGUAUCCAAUGUGAAAAGACCAAAAUAGCCUUGCUGCCAGAUUUCUGCCAGUCUGUACCGGUACAAGGUGAUGGCUGUACCGGUACAACAAGCAGAAAAAGGCUGAUUUCGCCUGUUUGAUGCAAUUUCUCACUUUUAGCCUUCCAAUCAUCCUCUAACUUAUCCAAAAACUUGUUCUAACCUUUUAGAACAUGUAGGAUUGAUCCACACACCAUUCCACAUACUCGAACUCCGCAAUUUGCAAAAGUCCAGUAUAUUACACAACCUCUACGGUCAACCUCGUAAAGGAGGUACCUACCUAUAAGGUCAAAUCAUAUAGGGCUGAUUCAGCUGACUUAUAAGGUCAAAACCCAACAGAUAAGUAACUACCAAUCUACUAUAUCAUAUCAUCAUCAGAUGCACUAGAAUGAAUGUAAUACACUGAACUUUAGCAAAUUGCGAGGUUCUAAUGUUCGAAUAGUAUUUGGCACUAUUUUGGGUAUGUUGGAGGGUCAUAGACUGUGUUCCGACCUGUUUACUCACAUCUUGAGAAGCAAGGAUGAGUACUUAGCACCAAAGCCUCCAAACUGCAGGUUUUGGGGUGUUGGGUACCGGUACCAGAGAGGGGUACCGGAACAACGUCGCGCAACAGAGAGAUGUGCUCUCGGGUUUGAGCUCUGCGAGGUAGAGUACCGGUACUACAUCACUCGAGUAUCGGUACUGGGGCUUGGUACCGGUACUACAUCGCGUGGGUACCGGUACCCUGCGUGUUGUUCGCUUGACAGAGGCUCAGGUUUGCACGUUCGGCUGCGGGGUACCGGUACUCCAGCCCGCGUACCGGUAUGUAGUGCAGUCCACAGGCUACAUGUUUUUUAGGGUCCUUUUUGGAAUUGUAGCAACACUUUAUAUAACCCCACACCUCUUGAGUGGCUUUUUUGUGCUGGAACUAGAGCAGAAGAGAGGUGAGUCUCCCCCUUCACCUCUCUCUGAUUUCUUCUCUUUUUUUGUGAGAUUUCAUGGGUUGACCUCUCCUUUUUGCUUCUUUUUGCUUCUUUUUGCUUGGUGAUGGUUCUUCUACCUUGGAGAAGCUUUGGAUUGAGGAUUGGAGCUUGUUUGAGGAAGGAUCUCCAACCCUAGCACCUUUUAGCUUGGUUUGGAGCUUGGGAAAAAGGUUAGUAACCUUUCUACUACAGUUGAUUGUGGUCUAUGCUUGGGUUUUGGAAGAAAACCUAGUUUUGAAAAAAUUAGGUUUUUAUUUCGGGGUUUUUGAUUUGUAACCUUUGGGGUGAAUUUGAUGAGUAUAGAACUAUCUUUUAGGUUGGAUUAGAAGCAUCCUAGCCUUCAUUUGGAUUUUGGAAGAGUUUUCUACCAUCUAAGGUAAUUUUCUAUCUAUUUAUGGGUUGGAUUAUGAGAAAUUUUUGGGUGUUCGUUUGAAGCUCCUAACCCUCUUGAAAUUUUUGUUAGGGAACUAAGAGACUUGUGGACAACUCCGUUCGCGCAAAUAAAGGGGGUUGUGAGGGGUAUUCGGUGGGUUUGACCUCACCGAAAUCGGUGAACUCCUCCUAUGUUAUAUUUUGUGGUUUAAAAUGGAAAAUCAUGCAUAUUCAUGCUAGAUAGGGCAUAAAUGAAUUUUUGAAUGUCUAAAAUACAUAUGUCAUGUAUCAUGUUUUGUAACCUCUACGUAGUAGAGAGAGAAAUGUAUCGUAAGUUGCAUGUGAGGUGGCAUUGUUAUACUAUGUUGGGAAUCAUGAUUUGUUUAGUAAAAUGACAAGCUUUUACAUGCUUAUGAACAAAGAACAUAUGCUAGACAUAGAGAACAUUAAUGUUAUAGAGUGGCAUUCGACUUAGUAAACGGUUAAAUCUUUAUACUGUGACAUAGAGUUAUACCUUUGGGUUGCUAGUACUUGUACCAUAUUUUAGACAUGACGAUUGUGGAAUUGAGAUGGAUGAUUAUACUUGCUUGCCAUUGUGCUUAUUCGCACAUACUUUUGAGGGUUGCUCCCCACAAGCCAGCACUCUGGAGUUGGCCUACGCGACAUAUGCUCGUCCAUGCGGGAUUGGGUGCCUACUGGGUCGCCGUAGGAUAGUCACAUUCUUAGAGGGAAAUGCUGGACUAUCAGGGGCCAUUAAGCAACACAAGCCGGACUACGCUUGUGUAGAUCCCUAAUUGGCUCAUGAUUGGUAACAAUGUCGUUGAUUUUUCAAUUUCCAAAACGAUCAAUUUUAGCUUUGCAUUUAAUUUGUUUCUCAGGUGGUAAUAACUAGCAUGCAAAUUGCAAACAAGCUUCUUCUAAUUGGCAGUUAUCAGAAAAUAAAGGUACAAUUUAAUUUUCAUUGUUAUGUUGCUUUUUUUAAGACAUUUCGGUGCAUUAUAAAUAGAGGUUUGUACCGCAUUAGCAAAUUAGUUCUGUAUUUGAGAUCAGGGUUCUAUGUUGAUCAACGAAAGCUUAAAAUUAUUCUUCUCCAUAAAGUUGAUUGCAUUCAACUUACUAUGACAUCACAUCGCUUGAUCAUUGUAACUUUAACACUGGUCAUGUCUAGGUAACAACAAGCUCUCUUUAUUUUGUUGUUUGGAUCUACUAAUUUACUACUUUUGAUAUGAUCUUCUUUGGUGAUGUAAUAGUUCCUGACAACCAAAUGCCAAAAUUAUAGCUGAUAUUGAGGAUUUUCUAUUUUUUUUUUAAAUUACAUUUCUUCAGUUUCAGAUGGCACUACAACAUUUUGUAUUAAAGGUGGCUUUUAUCGGUACCUAUAGCGGCUUUUAGAAAAGCCGCAACAAAAGUACCGAUUUUUCUGAAAAAGCCACAAAAAAAGCCAGUGAAAACUAAGUCGGUAUAGGUCUAUGUCAAUAUAACGGCAUAUUGCGAAAGCCGCAUUUUAGUGCCUAUAGUGGCUUUUUGAAAGCCACUAUCAGCAUUCAAACUAUUGUACUAUUUUAGCCGUCUUUGAUUAUCUAUAGUGGCUUUUUGCCAAAAUACUGCAAUUUCUACAGUUUUUAAGAGCUACGGCAAUUGAAAAGCCGCCUUUUAUUAGUAUAGCGGUAUUUGGUGUGCCACAAUGCGAUAGUUUUUGUGGCUUUUCAAUGCUGUUAAUAAAAUUAUGUUGUGGCUUUUUGGAAGCUGUUAAUAUGCAUAUACAAUGACUUUUUAUAAAGCUACUAUUGAUCGAAAUAUAUGGACUUUUGAAUAUGUAUAUUAGCUAGGAAUAGUUGUAUGAAAGAUACAAUACAAAAAUGAUAUAUUCAUAGCAAAAAAGUUGUUUUAUUUAUAUAUAAGUCAAGAGUAUCGAAUGAAACCAAAAUACUAAUUGUUUCUUACAUACUCAACAUUAAUAAAAUGAUAAAAAAUUAUAAUAUCAAAAAAUAGUUUUUUAGAAAUGACACAGUUGCUCAAAACAUAAAAUGAUGCUAUGAAUAUAUCAUUUUUGUAUUGUNCUUACAUCCUCAACAUUAAUAAAAUGAUAAAAAAUUAUAAUAUCAAAAAAUAGUUUUUUAGAAAUGACACAGUUGCUCAAAACAUAAAAUGAUGCUAAAGGUCAUAGUAGGUCCAAAUACAAAAGAAAUGAUCAAGUAUCACUGGAAGGAUUUGAUAAUACUGACGUAUAGCAAGUGCCUGAAGACUCAAGAUUCUGUAACAAAAAUAAAAACUUCUUUCAAUAAAAUAAGAAUAUAGUUAAUAAUUAAAAUAUAAUGAUAAAAUCGAUAAAAUUAUCUAGAUAAAGUCAUUUUUCCUACCUGUCGACUGCCACCAAGGUUACAAUCUGGCAUUUUUUGUCUUAUAAAUUCCAUAACGUCAGCUAAUUGUGACUGCAGUUGGGAAACCAUUUUUUUACUCUCUUGCACUUCCUCUCUUAACUUUUGUACUUCUUCCGUUGAUUCCAAGUUAUAACACACACAAUGUUCAGAUGGGAUCAAUCCUAGCCCUCUUACUCGGCUGUCAUACUCUGUCACGCCCCGGGACCCAGCGGAAGCCCGCCCGGCGCGUGCCCAGACCUGCCAUACGUCUAAAACGUAUAAGGCGUCUAGAAACAACAAUAAUAAAAGCAAUAAUAAAAGACAUCUAGGAGUAUCAGAGCAAUAUAAAUGUCUAAAAGCUACAAUAAGGGUAAGGAUAAAACUGUAAAUCCACUAAAUAAAACAUAAAGUAAGUACAAAAGAAAAUCCCAAAUACAAGUGCUAAAAGUAGGUACAUAGGUGGUCUCUAUACAUGAAUACAAAAAUCUCUCUCUCUCUCAACUACAAAAAGAAAGAGUAAACCACCUAGGCAAAGUACCGCUGCUAGCUAGCUAAGCGAUCCCCUUGCCGCGAUCCCGUGCCUCCGCCGGUGCCGAAGGCUCUGAAAAGUGAACCAUAAAACAGGGGCGUGAGAACUAUUAAAAAUAGUUCCCAGUGGGCAAUUACUGACUUCAGUGAACUGCGCCACAAGGCCCAAAAGCUACAAGAAAAGGUCAGUGACUAACAAUGUAAUAAUUAAACGGUAAGUGAAAUAUAACCUACUAUAACAUAGAGUCUCCACUUAGCAUGAUUUGCAUAAGUAAUAAAUCAACUAUAACAUGAAUGUACAUGGAUGUGUAAGACAUGCAUAAGCGUAGAAAUGCAACCAAUCCAAUGUCCUCAAUGCAAAGAUAGUAAAAAUGUCGUCGUUUACUAUUCUAGUCCAAGUCCACUUUAAUAGUUUUAAAGUUCACAUAGCAUGUUCUGUCACUAAGUCCCAAUCAUAUAAGACCCACCCGAAGGCUGUCUGGCCUGCGCCGUGCCUAAUGGCCCCGUGGUAGUCAACAUCCCCACUCUAGGGAUGAGCCUCCCCCACGGCGAUCCACUUCGGCGCCCAAUCCCGCACGGCGAGCAUGUGUCGCGAUGGCUAUCUCCGGAGUGCCGGCUUGUAGGGAGCGACCCUCACAAGCAUGUGCGAAUGAGCACAAAUGGCAAGCAAGCAAUGAUCUGUCUCAAGUACCAAGUCCUCAUGUCUAAAACAUGGAAUAUGUCAAGUACCACGAUGGCCUAUCUCUAUGUCGUCAUGUCUCUAACAUGGAAUAUAGCAGAUACGUAAUGGCCUAUCAAUAUGUCUCUAUGUUGCAGUUUAAAUGUUUACUAGUUCCAAGUGCCUCUUGAUGACCCUUUUUGCUACUAAGUUCAAACAUAGUAUAAUGUUUCCCAUACAUGAACAUAAGCUAAAUUAGCAUACUAGACGAGAAUCCCAUUCGUCCACAUGAACCCACCCCACAUGCAUGACAAUAACCUUGAUUACUCUACCAUCUAGAGUGAAAUUUAACUUACACAUAGGGCAUGCAUUUUAGGGGUUCUAAAUUUCACAUAAAUUCCAAUUAGCAUAGGAAAGCAUUUAAAAAUAAGUUACGAAUAGUUUAGAAUGCACAGGGGCCAUUUCGCCCCAUUUCCAUGAAGUCAAACCCACCGAUGACGACGAAACUCCUCGUUCGCUCCAACGAGGGUGUCCCCUAGUCUCCUAGUAUCCUAGAGGUAUAGAAACAUGUGUCAAACAAGGCUCACGAACAAAGCUAAGCUCAAACAUUAAGCUUCUCUAGCUAGGUUGGAGAAAACUCACCGAAAGCUAAAGAAUCUCUCUCGAUCUCAAAAAGGGAGUUAGAUUCCUUCAAAUCCAACCUAAAUCAAAGUUCUAAACCAAUCAAUUUGGUUCUAGAAGCUACAAAUCAAAAAUCCCCAUUUUUAGCCCUAAAACUCAAAAUCUAGGGUUUCAUCUAGUAGAAGAUAUUAAAACUUGAUCCAAAAGGGAGAUUUAGCUUACUAACCUCACAAGAUGCCCAAAACCAAGUUCUAAGCCAAGUGGAGUUGAAGUUUGAUCCUCCAACAAGCUCCAACCAAGAUCUCAACCUUCUCCAAUGGUGGAAAUCCCAAAAAAAGCAAGAAGGAGAAGAAAAGAGAGAUCAAAACCACUAAAAACCCACCAAAAAAAGAGAUCAAAUCAAGAGGGGAAGACUCACCUUGCUCUCCUCUGGUUAGGGCUCAAAAAGAGCAGCAAAGGGGCUGGGGUAGUUUAUAAAGAGUAUUGCAACAAUUGCAAAAAGACCCCUCCACGAAAUCUGCCCAGAGGCAUUGUGUACCGGUACACGGGAAAGUGUACCGGUACACUUCCUGCGAAACAGCCCAACCCGAGCCUCGGGUUGGCAGAAAAUCUAAUGUGUACCGGUACAACCAUCAAGUCGUACCGGUACAAAUUCUGUACCGGUACAACCAUCAAGGCUGUACCGGUACACAGCCUGGCUGAGGCUAAUCAGAGAGUACUCCAACAAUCCAACCUUUUGGGAUUUUGGUACAGGUUUAAACCCUCAAUUCUCAGGAUGCGAGCCAUAGAUCGGAACGCUGUCUACGAUCCUUCAGAAAGUCUGAGAUGGCUCGACACACAGAUCAAACACUCGAACCUCGCAAUUUGCAAAGGUCCAGUGUGCUACAUACUCUUUUCUUAUGACUUCGAUAUAAAUUUUGUUUUCCAUUGUAAUCACAUCCUCUCGAGAAGAUUCAGAUGUUCCAGAGCAAUUAGCCAAUUUGUCUUUAGCAUCAACCUAACAAUAAAUUUUGUUAACAAAUUUAUAGAAAGCAUCAAUUUAGACAAUAUGAGAGGACAAGUUUCCUUUAGCAUUUUAUGAUCAAAAGUAUAGAAAGCAUCAACUUACAAUAGCAAUACAAAGAAAGUUGUAACAACCUAUCAUUUAUUCAAGGGUUUUGGAAAGCUUUUAUAUUCCAUAAUUAUGAAAGAUAAAAAACCAUCAGCAACAUUCCCAUCGACUAUCCAAGAGCUCUAUAAUAUUUCAUGGUUAGGAAUUUAAAUUAAGAAAAUAACAAUGAUUUGACCUAUAGACUAAAAUGUUGCAUAGAACUAUACUAAAAGAAUCCAUUAACUUAGACAUGCUAUCUAGCUAGGUUAUAGACAUAUAGUAAAUAUAGAGUUGAAAGCUAACAAACAGAGUAGUAAAAUUACCAUUAAUUUUUUCGCAUUGUCACUUAUAAAUGAUCUAUUUUUUUUCGUGUGAGUUAGUUCGAACAUCUCAACAAGUCUAGGUACUCUGCCAGUUGUAUCUUCCUGCAAAUAUCAUAAUGUAGACAAGUAUAAGAAUGUUGCAAUAACAUAAGUUUUACAACAAUCAAUAAAAUAAAUAGUUACAAUUUCUUUCUCUUUUCGUGCAAAGCUUUUGGAUCCUGAUGUAUGUGUGUAUUUCUGUUUGGCUCGACUUUCUUUGUAAGGACCGAGAUUUUUGCAAUGUAGCUAAACUCUCAGUUGAUGAUGUUUUUGUGUGUAAUUUAAUUACAAAAGCACUCGUCAAGUUUCGGGAGAAACGAGUUAAAACGGAGAUUUUACGCGAUUUUCAAGUUUCACUUAAAGUGAAUAGUAACUCAGUUUUCCGGAGAAGACACGGUGCGAAGUUGGCUUCUAGUGCGUAUCGGACUCCGUUCAUAGCAGUCCAAUAGCUCGUUUCGACCGGUUCAGCUAUUCUAGAACUGAUGACGCUGACGGAUUUUGAGUUUGAUGCACGGAUUUUGAGAAAAUCUAAAAAUACGUGUUUUAUAUGUAUUUGUGCGUAGUUCUUCUGUUGGAGAGAUGGAUCGGAUUUCGUUGCGAAUCCGCGAUGGAUCGAGGCGAAACGAAAUUGUAGCUUUGUUGUCUCUAUUGUACUGAUCACACUGGUACGAUCCGUUCGCAAAUCUGACGGACGGAUCUACGGAGAUUGUGCAUUGAUCGAGGAGAGGUUGGUGAUGGCAAAACGGUAUUUUCGUAAAAAGUGCGACAUUUUAUGUACCGUUUUACGUGAGAUCGCACGUGGAGGGGUAUUCUCGCGUUUUACACGCGCUGUAAGGGACUUAGUACCAAAUACUGAAGUUUGAGGGGCUUUUUCGCAAUUUGCACCUUAUAUAUAUAUAGUGUAUCUAGGGUUUUCUACCUUGAAAUCCUAACCCUAGACCCUAGCCGCACCUUGCCAUCUUCUACUCCCUCCUCUGACUGCACAGUGCGCUCCCCAGCCGCCGGCGCACGCUGCCGGUCGCCGAAGAAUGAGGUUCCAUCUCCCUCUCCAUCUCUCUCUCCAUCUCUCUCUCUUUUCUUCUCGGGUUGGAGCCCUAGUCGAGGCUGCAUUGCCUCCCUAUUCCCUGCCGGCGUCGCCCUGACCCUAUCGGAGCUUCCCCCGACCAGUCGCUGCCGCCUGCCGCCGUCGCCUGCGCCGCCGCUGCUGGUUCUGCAAUCUGCGGCCGCCCCAGCCCGAGCUCGGGCUGAGGCUUGUGUGCGGCCUCCCCCUUGCGUCGCCGCCGCCCCGGACCAACCGUGAGGCACCUCCCCGACCUCAGGCCGUCGGCCGCUGCCGCCCCGAGCCGCCCAGUGCGCCGCCGCCGCCACCUCGGCCAGCCCUCAGCCGUCCCUGUCUGCUCGGGCCGAGGCAAGCCUGCGGCUUCCUCCUCGCGCCACUGCCGCCUGGGACCACCCGUUCCGCCUGCUGCCGACCUUGGGUGAUCCUCCUCCGCCGUCUCGGAGCUCCCCGGCCGCCGCCGUGGCCGCUUGUACCCGCGAAACCCGAGCUUUAGCUCGUGCGGGCUCAAGUCUCUCCGCCGUCACCGCCGCCGCUUCUCGCCGCCAACUGAGGUGAGCAUCGUGUUCCUCACCUCCCCCACAUCCAUCCCUGACCCGCACGCAUGCCGCAAUGCCGCCGGAAGCCGGCCGGAGAGGGCUUGCUCCGGCCAAGCCCGAAAUAGGGCUUAUUUGAGUGGGUUUAUUGUUCUGAGCUUCUUGAGCUUCCCUGAUCUCUGCGGAAGGGAGCACGAUGAUUGUAGCAAAUUGCUGAUCAUCGUGCUCACCUUAAAUUCUGUCGGGGAGACUCCGUUCCGCUGUUUCUGCGGUGUCGACCCGAUUGAGCCUUUUCGAUUGAUGUUCCAUGCUUGCGCGCGUUUUUUCGGCGAUCCGAGGCUGUUCCGAUGCCUCCGGAGGUGAGCACGGUGAUCGAUGGUUAGUGCUGAUCACAGUGCUCACCUCACUUUGGAUCAACAUUGUCCGGUUAGCCCUGUUUGGCGCGAUCUUCCCCGACUGCGCGCUGUUCACAGAACUUCGGGUUGCUCCCGUGCCUCCUACAGUGAGCCGAUGUGCUCCGGACUAUGAGCAUGGCCUCCGGCACAUCGAGACAUGUCAAUACAUGUCUCGGUGGAACUUAGAAGUCCUCGGUUUGCGUGAACGAGCUAUUUUAUUGCCCGAUUUACAUAAAAUAUUGGGGAAGAAGGUAACUCGUGACACGAGUCGGUGAGUUUCGGGACACUUAGUGAGUCCCGACGACGUCCCAGUGUGGUUUUCGGGACUUCCGGCGAGUUACGGUAUUCGAUAUCCGAUCUUCGUGAAAUUGUUUGUGGGGUUGUGGUUACUGUGGUUCUUAGUGGUGGGUUAGAUACUAACCCGGUGGACCCUCUAUAGGUCCUGUCGACAUUCUUUUGCAGUCAGGAGACAAACGCGACAUCCUUACAGGUGGGUACUUCGAUCCGACGUCGGUACAAUGGUGCACGCUUGGUGAUGGUUUCUUACCCUUACUCUUCUGUUGUUACUAUCGCAUAGUAUAUUGAGCCUUGCACCCUUGUUUAUUCGUUAUACUCUACUCGUUGUUUGCAUGCUUAGUAUCCUGAGUAUGAGUAGAGUAGUUCUAUCUACAUGCAUAUCUGUUGACCUAGUUGGUCUGUUGUCGCAUUCCGUAUUCUUUGACCUAGUUGGUCGAUUGUUGCAUUCCGUAUCUGUUGAUCUAGUUGGUUGGUUGUGCAUUCCGUAUCUGUUGACCUGGUUGGUCAGUUCUCGUACUUCGUAUCAGGGACCUUGUUGGUCAGUUGGACUCUGUGGACCUUGGGUCGAGGCAACACAUCGACUCUCUUGUCAUGUGUUUUGAUCUGGUUGAUCGUGGUUUAGCGUUGUACGCCCUUGUUUCUGGCUUCGGCCUAGGCACCGGCUUCAGUCGGGUUUUGUAUUGAGCAUACCAGCAUGACUUAGUCACAGCACUUGGGGGUGUUCACGACACCGGGUCGGUUUGGCCACCGACCGGAGGUGUGCUUAUCCGGAUGGAUCGUCCUGUGGGGCAGGUGAAUCAGGUCGGUGCAGGUUAGUGAUAGGCAGCGCUUGAGGUAUGCGGACCAAUAUAGCAGGUACCAGAUUGGGUAUAUUUGGACUUCUUGUCCGGUUGACGCAUAUGACUAUAGUAGCGGUUGUUGCAUGUAUACUUACCGUUCCUUCUUUACAGUUGUCUUACUACUAUAGUUUUGUUGCAUAUAUACAUUCAGUUGUUCAUUACAGUAGCAGUAGUUGUACUUCUUUCAUAUAUAUGUCUCUUUCAUUCAUUAUUAUUGCUACUGUAUUUCUACUGACCCGUACUGUUGUUUAGCUCUUCCUAAUCCGGUGAGUACUCUUCGCCUUCAUCGGCUUGCGGUACCCACUGGGAGGGAAGACAUGUUUACAUGUUCUCACCUUCCCCACCAUUUUUCAGGUAUUGCGGGCGGUGAGAGUCGAGACGAGAUGUGAGACACGUUCGUAGCGGUCGAUAGAGCUUCCGACCCAGGUUAUUCGGUUUAGUUUUUACCCUUACUAUUAUGUUGAUAUAGCUCAGAUAGUUUAUAUGGUUCAGUAUUUUUAUUACAUUUGAAAAUGUGGGUUUUCAUGAAUGUAAUAAAGGGAUUUGUGAAAUUUAUGAAAAGAAAAAUAGUUUUCUACCCCUCGUGAUAGCGCGUUUUAAAAGAAAAGGUUUCCGUAUGGGGAACAGCUUUCAAAAGAGUUUUCUUAUGGUUUUUAUGUUUAAACACUAAAUAAUAAAUAUUUGGUGAAUGGUGAAUGAAUGUUGUGUAUUGUAUAUUCAUGUAGUGUGGUUGUAUCUUGGUUAUACUCUGUUUGAAAAUUUUGUACUUGUGCGACGCCGUGCAAAUACAGGGGAGACUCUGUCCGUGUGAACAGUGAACUCCCUGUAUUUGUGGCGGGUCUGGCAUACCCUGGGGUCAGGUUUUCAAAAAAAAAAAAAAAUUUCCGCUAUGUUUUAACCUAAAAGGGACCCCGGGGCGUGACAUUCUUUGGCUAACUUCUCUCGUUUCUCCCAUUUAAAAGAUAAUAAAAAAUUAGUCAACAGUACAUCCAUACUAGAAAUUUCAUAGUAAUUAAAGGAAAAAAGCAUAGUAAUGCCAUAUUUGGUCAAUAAUACUUACUCUACCAAUCAAGUAUUCCUCCACACCACCACAUACAACAUCAUAGCAACAAACCAUUACAUAAGAAAUAGGGCUUACUUGUGAAGCUAGGAACAAGGAUGCAAACUAUUCUCGUAUUUCUACCACCCAUGCAUGAGACACUUGUAAUGAUUGAAAUGAAAAAUAAUUGAACCUUGAUAAAGAAAGAACUAAAAAUUAAUGAGCUUAUAUUGGACUUGGUUACAUGGAAAGUGCGUUCGACGAUUGCAGCAUUGACCAAGGAUCCGAGGAAAGCAAGGGCAAAAGCUAGCAUGAACAUAUAGUGUGUCAUGUUUAAGAUUUGAAACAAUAGAACUAAUUGAUAUAGAAAAGAUAAAUGAAGAAGAUGAUGACUUCUUUCUUAGAUAAUUGUAUCUUGGUGUGGCACAAACCAUUAGUUAUCUUUAUAUAGAUCCUUGAAAUGCAUACUGAUAAGGAAACAAUAAGAUAUAUAAACAACGCAUAAAGAAGUAGUUGAUCACAUUUUCGGCAUUUAGAAUCAUUAGAUACCGAACUGAUUUGAAAUUCCAAACUAAUUAAUAAUUUUGACCAUUCUUCAAAGGUGUAUUUAUCUAACAAACAUAGGGAGUAAUAUACGCAAAAGAUCGUAAAACCUCUCUUAGUAACACCUCCACCCAUCCUUUAUUCCUGCGAAGCCACCAUUAGUUUAAAAACCCAAAAAAGCAAACCCCACACAAAACUACAACUUCACUAUCAGUUAAGUAACCAACAUGCACCGAUAGUAGAUAGUAGAAGCAGUAGUAGUAGCUAAAUAUCCUUUGUUAUUCUCAUCUGUUUUUCUUCAUGUACGUUCAACGUGCAUGUGUUAAAAGUAUCUGGUUGGUAGUAGAUAGUAGAAGUAGUAGUAAUAGCUGUAACUUAAUUAAUUGCUGAAACCAUUAGUAGUAGUAGUAGUAGUAGUAGAACUAUAGUAGUAGGUACUAAGAGGGCCUAUUUUAUAAUAUUUUUCCUGCCACAGAACAUAAUAAUAAGCANAUCUUUUUUUUCCUAAUAUUUUUCCUGCCACAGAACAUAAUAAUAAGCAUCAUUAGAGCUCUCAUAGCUAGGUUAUCAUUUGAUUGAGAGAAUGAGAAAAAAAACACAAAAACAAAAACAAAAAACAAACUAAUGGUGCUGUUAUUUCCAAGUAGAGAUUACAAUGUCUUUUUCGUGUGGAUUCGAUAGAUUGUUAUUUCCUACUAAUUCCAUCGUGCCUUUGGACUAAUUUAUUAAGUAGGUAAAUCUCCUUGUAAGUAGCCUAUGGUACGUAAUCAUGUGAAUUUUAUUUGGUCCUUGAGGUAAUAGCAAAUUAAUUGAAAACGUAUUAAGAAAAGAAAUUAUCUGAAAUGGAUUGUGAAUUUACUAUUCUCCUUUUUCUUUGUCUUCUUCUCUCUCAUACAUCGAUCAUUAAAAGUCAACCAGAGUAUAGAAAGCAUUAUCUAGAAAUAAAGCAUUGACACCAUUACAUGACAAAAAUAAAUCAUACCUUGGCAACAUCAGAGUAUAAAAAGUCAACCAGGCUCAACCAUUGCUGCUUUGCUACACCAGGAGGCACAUUCUUACUAAUCUCUUCUUUUGGUUUUAUUCGGUCAAAAUGCUUGGCCUUCAAUUCAACUUUGUAGUCUUUCCAUUUCUUGUUUAAAGAUCUCAUGACAAAGGCUCACCCUUUCUUUGAUUGAAAUUGAAAUUUUGACUGCAAUGAAAAUAUACACAAAAUUAAAAAAUAUAUAUAUAAUAAGAUGGUUAUAUAAACAUAUGUAAACAGUGUAAAAUGUGUCAAAUACCAUGGCAAAAGACAAAGCUUCAUUUUUUAGUGAAUUGGCAUUCGUCUCCAAUUAAUAUAGUUUAGAGGGCAGAAUUGACCAUUUCGUGCAACUAUUCUGCAAAAACCAACGAGCAACCUUGCCUCCUUAUUUAUGGGUUUCCCUCUUUUGUUAAAUCGAACUUGAAUACGCCAAUUCUCAUCCAUUUCCCAUAUCUCCUUUAAUGUUGUACGACCUCUCUUUCUUUCUCUUUUUCCAUCGUCAUGACUACAAAAAAGUCAAUGCUAUAAUUAGACUUUAAUUACAUAUAGCUUAGCUUGAUAGAAAUAGUGUCAUCAAAGUAAAAUGACCCACAAAAAGAAAGAUAUAAGAUAAUACAAAAAUUCUAGGGAGAAGAAUCUAUGAAAAUCCUGCAAAGGCAUAUUGUAUUCCAAUCAACAGCAUAUGAACCGUUGCAUUCCAAUCAACAGUUUCAUUAUUUCAGACCUAAAACUCCUUAACAAGUAUCCUAAUCGAGAAUCUGAUUUUUAUUAUUCUGAUGUUGUGUCAAAGAUAACUUAUAGUAGACAACUAGAGAUAGAAAAUCACUCAAAACUGUUCAUACUGGUCCACACAUUCACAUUACCGAAAAGAAACCAUUUCCAUUUAAUUAGGAGCAAAAUAUCAAUUGUUUUCAACUAGGAGAUCAUGAAGCGAUCUCAGUAUUCAGGAAAGUAGGUGUUAACACACUUGUAAGGUACCGGACUUUUAAAACUACGAAGUUACGGUGUACAUUUAAAUGGUUCCGGUGAGGUUGCGAUGGAAUGUAACAUACCGGAUUUUGAGUAUAAAGGUGAAAAUAAAUAAAAAUAGUAUGAGAUACUAUUUUAUUGGGUUUAGAGAAGUGAAAUAUAGAUUGGAAAUGACCUGUGCUGAAAUCGGAGCGAAAACAGAAGAUUUAGAAUUUUCUGUGAGAAACGGGGCAGAUAAAUUAGCAGAAAAUGCACAGUGUCAGAAAAUUAUGAAAACUGUAGGAUAUGUCAGAAAUAUUUUUAUGAGGCUAGAUUUAAAGUUUCAUACCAUUCUGACACCCGUAGAGUGAGAAAUCAAAUCCGACAGUUAUCUGAUUAAGAUUACAGUUCGGCACAGUUUUCGGUGACCAAACGGGGUCGAAACUGAGAACUUAAGAUAUAUCCUUACUCAGCACGUUAAACUGAGCCUGCCUGUCAAAUUUGAGCUCAAACGGACAUUCAGAAGGGCUCCAACGAAACUUAUCAGAUUAGGGACUAAACUGGAAGGUUGAAUAGUUGAGGGGCUAACUUGUAAAAAGGGAUUAAAUCCCUUUCUUCUCCUUCCUCAGCCGAAUGCAACCCGCACACACACACAACACACACGCAUACAUGGAAAGGAAGAGAGAGAAAACUUUUUUUCUUCUCUAGAUCUCUCCAAAAUGAAUGGAUUGGUGGAGAUGAAAUUGGAGUGGAUGUCUUCAUCUUCUUCAUCUUCUCAUGGUUUUGGAGUUAGUUUGAGAGGUAAUCUUCGAUGCCCUUUAUGGUGAAUUGUAGGGCUUCAAUUAUACUCUUCUAAAUAUGGAUUUAUUGAGAUCUAUGAUGUAAUAGAUGAUUGUUGCCUUAAAUACACGAUCAAUUUAAUGAUUUAUUGGAGUAGUUUGAGAGGUAAUCUUCCGAUGCCCUUUAAUGGUAGAAUUGUAGGGCUUCAUUAUAUACUCUAAAAUGGAUUUAUUGGAUCCUAUGAUGCUUAAUAGAUAUUGUUGCUUAAAUCAGCCGAUCAAAUUUAAUGAUUUCUUGCCUAGUUAUAACCUAAGCUUCUAAAAUGCAAAUUUUGCUAUUAGUAGGCGUUUGAUCUCGUUUGACCUCCGUAACCUAAUUGAUAGAGUAAACGAACACGUUGGCGAAGACGGUUCGGCGAUUCGUCGAGCGGUGCGAAGUUAUUAAAGAAGGACGUUUAGGCUUCAUAUUUCCGCCUGGAGGGCCGAGGCGACGUCGUAAAUCAUGGAAUCGGAUUUGAGGCACGUAAAACAAAACGGAAGACCCUUUUGCCCGAGGCCUACGAUUCGAUGGCGGGUUGAGUGCGCAAUUGCAAGUUCGGACGGAACACCGAGAUGCCGCGGGAGGCCGAUUGCAAGCUAUCGACAAAGCAAUCGGAAUGCCACUACAGGUGGGUAAUGUGCUUACCGAAGCCGGACGUAGGUCGCCUUCAUGUCGAGAAAAUAUGAUUUACCUAGUUAUGAUUAAUGGUGUUAAAUGGCUAUUAUGAUGCAUAUAAUGUAAUUGCUAGAUGUUGCAUAUAAUGUAAAUGCAUGAUGACAUGAGGCAUAUAUUAUAUGAUGUUGACAUAUCAUGAGAGGCUAGUUAACAUAUAUAUACAUGAUAGGGUAUUGGAUAGCUGCAUUUCUGUUCUUGCAUGAUCCUUAGUAGUGUAGCAACAUGAGUUGAUAUUUGAGUCAGGAUGCAUGAGAAUAGAGGAAUGGUGACCUAGAACCCUUUAGAGAUAAGUUAAAUAAUAACUUAAUCUUGCACUGUUGAAUAUGAUGAUAUAUGACUAAAUAGUCGAGGUAUUACAUUGUGACGAGUGGGAUACAACCAAGUAAACAACUUGACGAGUGCCAUUAGAACUUAGUGUUAAAAGAACACCUGUGCAUGAUGGUCCUAGUGACAAGAUAUUCUCGUUGGACACAGAACUGAUCAUACUCAUUGUCUGUUCCCAGCUUGUGAUGGUCGCUCCACACAAGUAGUGCGCUCCGGAGUUCGUCACGUGGGAUAGCCUAUUUGGGGUCCCGUGGGAUAGGGAUAGCCUAUUUGGGGUCCCGAGGGAUAGCCUAUGUGGGGUCCCGCAGACGGUCUCGGAUUCGUAGUUUGAGUCACGAGGGAUGGCCUAUGUGGGGUCCCGAUGACGGCUCCCUACGAAUCGAGAUGGCUCGCCAGUAGAUUGGGUAAUGUACUCACGAGAAUUCUACAAAUUAGGCAUGAGCGAUAGUCGAGUCCUAGUAGAGUGGACAUUAGGCUGAGGUGCAAGUGAGACGUCCUUCGCCUCGAGCCUGGCUUGUGCGGUACUCCGCAGACGAUUGACUCAAGAUUGAGUUGGGCGAUUAGCUUUGUAAAGGUAGAUGAAACUUUAUGACAAAAGCGGUAAAGGACAGAAAACCUUAAAUGCCAAUUGGAUGAAAGUAGUAAUCGAUUGAAUUUCUAGUUGGUUGUAUAGCUGUAUUAUUGCAUGAUCUUCAUAUUGCAUAUCGCGAGGCAAUGCAUGGUAUUGUGAGUUGCAUAAUCUUAUUAUCAUAUCUAUCUGUUUAUUGAACUAACUUGCAGUGUCACGCCCCGAGCCCGAUCCCUUUUGGCCGGUUCGAGAGCGUCAAACAGACGCCGAACGGACAGAGCUUCCCCUGUCCGCCCAAGGCUCAACACAAGUAUCAAUAGAGUACAAUUUGCAUAAGCGGAAGCAUACACGAUGGCUAGCGCGAGGGCAAGCAAUAGCCAAGGCGAAAGAAUUAACAAUUCAAUAUACAAGUAAUAUGACUAAAUUUAAAUCACAUAUAUGCAUCCAACUAUAAUCGAGUUGUUCACAUUCUUGCAUUAUUUCUUUUUACAUCUCAUUUCACCCAAAAUAUAACUUUUGACAUUUAAAAUCAAGAUUCUUUACAUCAUUCAUUAAAGCAAGUUCGUGAUACUAAAAUCAUCAAAUACAAAAGAUGAUAGUAAAGGGUAUGCAACUACAAAAUGAUAAGCAUCUCGGGCGGUCUCUAGUUAGGGCGCGAUGCCCUUGCCCCGAUCGUCUACCAUCUCGCUGGGUCCCGGCACUGUGAAAUAGGGGUGUGAGAACUACAAUAAAGUUCCCAGUGGGUUCGGCAACCAACCACGCCGACUAUCCCACUAGGUCUAAUCAGGCAUAAUAAAAUGAAAGGAAGUAAGUAACCAACUAACAGAUGCAACUAAUAUGCCUGAACGAUAUAAAAUGAUAUGCACAAUGUAAAGCUCAUGAUGAAUGCAAGGUCACAGUGUCAAUACCCAAUCUCUUGGCUAACCCGUAGGUUUCGCCCUCAACAAACUCACCAACUCAAAAUCCCAAUGAUCGGGGAGAUACUCGCUACACCCGAUGGGACCGCCCUCUGGGAAGAUACUCUCUACACCCAGUGAUGUCGACUCCGGAGCACAUCACCCGAGGGGGAGCUACCACAACCUCGAGCAAGGACUAAAGUGAGUACGAUCAAUGUAACAUACCAGAUUUUAAAUAUAAAAGAGAAAAAUAAAUAAAAAUAGUAUGAAAUACUAUUUUAUUGGAUUUAAAGAAGUGAAAUAUCGGUUGGGAACGACCUGUGCUGAAAUCGGAGCGAAAACAGAAGAUUUAGAAUUUUCUGUUGGAAACGGGACUGAUAAAUUAGCAGAAAAUGCACAGUCUCAGAAAAUUAUGAAAAUUAGCGGGGAUGUCAGAAAUAUUUUUAUGAGGCUAGAUUUAAAGUUUCAUAUUUUUCUGACACCCGUAGAGUGAGAAAUAAAAUCCGAAAGCUAUCUGAUAAAGAUUGCAGUUCGGCACAGUUUUCGGUGACCAAACGGAGUCGAAACUGAAAACUUAAGAUAUAUUCUUGCUCAGUACGUUAAACUGAGCCUGCCUGUCAAAUUUGAGCGAAAACGGACAUCCGGAAGGGCUCCAACGAAAUUUAUCAGAUUUCAGGCUGCCCGUAGUGAAUAGUGUGUAGUUGAGGGGCAAAAUGGUAAAAUGGGAUUAAAUCCCUUUUGCUUCUUCUUCCUCCCAGCCGUAGCAGCCCAAACCGCACACACACACACGCGCAUGGAAGGGAAGAGAGAAGCCUCUCUUUCUCUCUCUAAAUCUCUCCCAAAAAGAAUGGAUUUGGUGGAGAUUGAAGCUUGGAGGUGGAUCGCCUUCGUCUUCUUCAUCUUCUCCAUGGUUUGGAGCUCAUUUUGAGGUGAGCUUCUUGAGCCCUUUAAUGGUAGAUCUUUAAUGCUUGGUUUAAAUACCUUAUAAAUGGAUUUAGAGGAGUCCUAGCAUGCUAUCUAGAUGAUUAAUGCUUGAAUCAUGGAUCAAUUUAGUGAUUUCUUGCAUAGUUGUAACCUAGGGCUCCAAAAUGCAAACUUUCAAAAUAUGAGGGUUUGAUCUCAUUUGACCCUUCGUAAACCUAAUUGCUAGGUAACGAAACGCGUUGGCGAAGACGGUUCGGCAAUCCGACGAGCCGUUACAAAGUUAUUAAAGAAAUAGACGUUUAGGCUUCGGGUCCGCCGGGAGGGCCGAGGCGACGUCGUAAAAUCAUGGAAAUGGAUUUGAGGCAUCGUGGCACAUAACCGAAGACCUAUAAUUUUCGGGGCUGCGAAGCGGAGCACGGUUGAGGCGCAGUUGCAGUAUCGGGCCGUGCCGGAUACGGGUGCCGCGGGAGGCCGAUUGCAAGUGUCGACAAGCAAUCGGAACGCGAAUUAAGGUGGGUUGUGUUUACCGAAGCGACUAGGUCGCCUUUAUGUCUAAGAAACUAAGAAUCCAUAUUGAUGCAUAUAAAUGUAAAUGAAGCAUGUAAAUGAUGCAUGUAACUAAAUAAUGCAUGUUGAUAGUAUGAUGUAAAUGCUAAAUAGAAUGCAUUAUGAGCAAGUUACAUAAUGCUAAAUAAUGUAAUGUAGAAAUGCUAGAAUGCAUUAUGAGCAAGUUACAUAAUGCUAAAUAAUGUAAUGUAGAAAUGCUAGAAUGCAUAAUGAGCAAGUUAUAUGAUGCAUGUUUAUAGUACGAUGUAAAUGCUAAGUAGAUGCAUAUAAAUGAUAUAUGAGAUUAUAAACGCAUGAUUAGCAUUAUGAGAUCAUAGAUGCAUGCUUAGCAUUGUGAGAUUAUAUAUGCAUAUGAACUUGGCUGAUAACUCUAGCUUGAAUAGAGAGAUAACAUUGAAAAAUGAGAAUUGAUGACUCUAGAAUGAGUAGAAUGCUUAAUUGGACAAUUAGUAUGUGAAUUAGAUCGAGUGGCAUCUAACUUAGUGUUAAGGAACAUAGGUCGUGAGUAGACCUAUAAUCAAAUAGAUCGAGUGGCAUCUAACCUAGUGUUAUUAAACAUAGGUCGUGAAAUGAAAAGUACUUAACCUAGAGUCAAGUGAACCAAGGUUAGAAAGAAUAAUGAUCCUAGUGUAAUAAACCUAGGUUAAGAAUGUGAAAGCAAUAAAUCUAAUGGGUGAACUUAGGUUGAGUAAAGGCUUAGACCUAGAGAGGUCAGUUCCAUAGGGUUAAGACCAACCCCUAUGUGAUCUGAAAUGGAUUCCGGAAUCCCAAGGCUAAAAGGAUACACCCAAAGUGGUGUCGGGUGUGUGCGAUGAUUGCGCCGCCCAAGGGCUAAAGAACCUUUGUCGUGGCGUGUGCGACGAUUUCGCCGCCGGAUGGUUAGCCAGUUUGUGGAUCCUACCGCCUGUUGACUGAACCACUGUCGUGGUGUUUGUGCGACGAUUUCGCCGCCGGGUGGCUAAGUCAUGGACCUAGGCCGUUGUUGGGUGAGGUGCGAUUCGUCCGCCGCCAGACGGCUAGGACAGGAGUACGGUGAGCUGUUGCCAGCUGAGGUGCAUGUGAGAGUUCCUUCACCUCGAGCUAGACAGUGCGCGGACUAUCCGCGAUUGAUUGACUCAAGACCGAGUCGGGUGGCAUAGAGAACUAAGGUAAGAGAAACCUUAGGAAAGAAUGGCCAGUAGAAAAGUGCGACAAAGUGUAAAGAAUAAAGAAUAAGUAAAGAAUAAAGUUCGGCUAAGGAAUAAGAAUAGCUGAUUAGUAAAGAAAGGUUACAAGUAAAGAAUAGCUAAGAGCUAAAAGUAAUUAAAUGACAAGAGUAAAGAAUGAUUAAGAAUAUAAGUAGCGUUAAAGUAACCUACUUGCAUGAUUACAGGUAUUGCAUAUUGCAUUUCGUGAGGCAUGACAUGUAUUUCAAUUGAAUAUAUAUAUCUGUUGUAUAUUGUUGAACUAACAUGUUGCAGUGCCUCGUUAGACCUGUUGGUUGAGCUGGUUCUCUUGGGUGGCUAAACCCACUGAGGACUAUGGACAAUAGUCUCACCCCCGUGUUGCUGUUUUGGGGGUACAGGUACACACGUGUGCGGCGCGGCGGCGCAAGGCGAGGGCGUAGUUCUGCAGAUAGCGCCCUACCCCAGAGACCAGAGCUAGCAGUACCCCAUCUAUAUAGCUUAGGGGUAAAGGAAAUGAAAAGAAUACAAUGUAUCAAACUUGUAGUAAGUAAAUGUUGUAAUAACUUAGAUUGCAUUUGGAUGAAAAAGAAUGGAAACUGUGAUGUAAAAACUAUGAAAGUGAAUGAAUGUAAUAACUUAGGAUGUGUUUAUGUUGUAUGAUACCUUCCACUUGAAAUCUUGAUUGAUAUCCGUUCCUGGUUGGAACCUUCGUGAAUUGUAUUGAUUGCGAUGCUUUGAAUGUACAGGGGAGACUCUGUCCGUAGUACAAGGGAAACCUUGUCCAUUCGGCGAUGUCGGCGGCGCCGGGACCUUGGCCAAAUAGGCGGGUGGUCGCGGGCUGUGACAGUUGUGGUAUCAGAGCAUAAAGUAGAGAAUGGGAAUGGCUUAGACUGACCUAGGAGACCCUAGGAUAGUAAAACCAUAGAAGAAUAAGGCUCGUGAGAGACGAGGACUCAUGAUUCGUGGCGAAAGGUUAAUGGAUUGGGUUGUGUUGUAAACCUCUAAGACGGAUAUUAGAGGUAGACUCGAGGUGUUGUUUAUUCUCAGCCAAGGAUGUUCAUGUUGGGCGUACGACAACAUGAAACCGAGUGAUGUGAAUAAACACCCUUGCGUGACUUUCGCCUGAUUGGCUUUUGAGCCGGUGUUAGUGGUCUCGUGUUCGACCCAAGUUGGUCGAGAACUAAUCGAGUUGUCGUGUUUCAGGAAGCGAUGGCACCGCGUAGGCGAUCUUCUUCCAGAUCGGCGCGGGAGGGGACAAGUGGUGUUCCCGAGCAAGUCGACGCGAGCGAAGGCGCAGAGCUUCGUGAUCAGUUGGCCACACUCAUUGGAGUGAUGAGGCAACAAGCUGAUGUGGUGCAGAGGCAGCAGGAGGCUGCUAUGCGCCAGGAAGAGCGAAUGGAAAGACUCCAAGAAACGGUGGACCAGCUGGUGGGUGCACCAGCUGCGGCUCGUCGAGAACGGCCGGGAGUCGCGGCGGAGAUGUUCCCGUCGGGGUCGGGCGAUCCGACUCCUGUUAGUUCAGAGGUGGCGGCAGAAAGGGAGCGAGCUUUGGCUGCCCUCAUGGCUUUCAAGAAAUUUGAUCCGCCUACCUUCGAUGGUGAGGAUCCAGAUCCGUGGAUCGUGGAGAUGUGGAUUGAUGCCAUGGAAACGCUCUUCGAGGAUCUGUACACGUUGGAGCGAGACAAGGUAAACCUAGUCGCGCAUUAUCUCAAACAGUCGACGAAGGUGUAGUGGAAAGGCGUCAAGCAUGAUCGACCGCCUAGUCUCCCUCCUAUGACGUGGGAAGAAUUUCGGGGAUUGGUGUUCUCUGCUUAUUUCCCCGAUAGCGAGAAGCGGAAGCUCAAGGAAAGGUUCCUUAAGCUGCGGCAAGGAAGUCGCACGGUCAGGCAAUAGGAGCGGGAGUUUUUCCGUAUCGUGCAUUGUAUCCCAAACGUGGUGCGAGAUGACAAGGACAGGGCCGACUGCUUCGUGCGUGGACUUCAGCCAGAUCUUUACCAGGCGGUGCUGGUACUCAAGUUGCAGAUUUUUGCUGAAGUCCUGGAUCGGGCCUUGUGGAUAGAACAGGGCAACGCCUUUAUGCGGGAAGAGCGAGAGGCAUAUUACAAGGAAAAGGGGAAAGGACGACCGACAGGUGGAUCCAGUAGUCAGUCAAGUUCCCAACGGACUUUGACGAGUUCGCACUCGCGAUCCCGAGCUCCGGGGACAUACCGCAUUCAGUCCUCGGCGAAAUGUGCUAUUUGUGGAGGCCCUCAUUUCCCACGACAGUGUGAGCAACGUGAAGGCAAGUACUUCAAGUGUGGGCUGCCGGGUCAUAUGUGGGACGAGUGUCCGCGUGGUGACGGCCGGGCCUUGACACUGGCGACGGCCCAUCCCUCUCUGGGACAACCUGCAGGUGUGCCACCUGCGGCAUGGUCGGGAGAGCGGCCGUUGAGGACGAUGCAACCAGAGGGUUCGCGACGAGCGCCAGGUGGGCAUCGGUAAGCGACCCGAGUUGCAGAGCCUGCCGUUGCUGACGUCAUCGUGGCAGGUAUGAGUUAAUUGAGCAAGCAUGUGCUUUUACUAAUCUCAAGUUGGUGCAUAGCAUGCAUUUGUUGUUGGUCGGUUGCUACUAAUUAUAUAUUGCAUAGUAGGGACCGAAUAGUCGGGUAAGUAGACGCCCGUACAUGCUUGCAUUGUGAGAAGUGGCACCUGCUGGUGCAAGUAGAAAGCCAAGUGGUGCUAGCUAAUGGCUAGUGAUGAUUCUCCGGUACGGAAUGAGGCUCGUGGAGAACAUGGUCUAGUAAGUGACUCUCGAAAUAAUGGGUUGAAAAUUGUGAGAGUUGAGCCUUGAUGUUGAGGAUACUCGAAAGACACGGGAGUUGAGAAUGUAUUCCGGUAGAUCGAACAGUGAAGGUAGAAUCACUGUUGAGAGAGUAACCGUAUAGUUGCCGAAUACGGGCACGUAGGCCUAGUAGUACCUCAAGUUGAGGUCGGCGAGUCCUGCUCGUGUAGUCGGUGUGCAUAGGCAAGGUUGCCUGAUGCUAGAUUUCGUGGAACGCUUUAGAGGCGUAGAGCGCUCGAGUGUAGUUACUCGUGAAGUGCGGUUUUGAUUCAGCCGGUUGAGUGAAUUGGCAGUAGCACUUUAGCAGGGCUAAGUGUGAAGCGGGCCAUGGAUCACUCGUAGGGCUGGUGGCUCGCACUAGGUACCUGGGGGCCGAUAGAGUGUGUAGCUCUGUAGAGCAUGUCGUUUAGGACGACGACGACGAGUGGUGCUUGAGGAUGACCCGUGCCUGGACCGUUUGUGAACUGUGUAGCCUGGGCCCAUUGGGCAGGCGCAGUCAGCUGUGAGAGACAGCGGCCCGAUACCUACUGGUAGGGCAUAGUGUUGGUCAGGACGGUAGUCCGAGCUUGGACAUAAGUACGUGGAAUGCCACGCGAUAGAUCGUGAGAUUGAUGGCACACCAAGUGUGUAGUGACCCAACCCGAGGACUUGACGUGGUCUAGGAUCUUGGUUGCACCUGGUUGGAGUGUGUGUGAAUUCUCCAAUGAGAAUUUCGCCCAAUGAUGAUUGGAUCUACGAUGCGGGCAAGAGACGCUAUGCGUAGUUGUGACAGGUAUAGGCGGUAGGCCUACGUAAUGAUUAUGAUCGUUGGUCCGCCUGUGAAAACCGAUGAUCAGUGCGGCAAGCAACUCUGUUAGUGAGUUGGGCUUGGAUUCACGAACGGAGGGUUCGUGUGAUGUUGAACGUGGCUUGUGGUAGUAAAGGAUAAAGAGAAAAGUAAAGUGUUCUCUAGGAGACACUUGAAUAAGAAAUAGCCACGUGAGGGUUGGUGUAAGGAAGUGAAUUCUCGAAAUGCGAGAGUUGGACUUCGCUCAAAAUCGACAAAUUGUCGAGUGGUUGUGCUUCGGAAAUGCCGAAGAGGUCAAAUACACCAAAGGUGCAUUGCAACGGAUCUGCGAGAGCAAGUGUGCAAAAAUCUGCACUUGGCAGAUUUGCUCUCGGGGACCGAUCCCUGUCAAGGAAGGACCGGUCCCCCGUAGCUGGUUGGUGCGAGGUUGCGUGAUGCAACCGGUCCCUUGGCCAGAGGGACCGGUCCCCCGUAUGCGAAACCGGCGAGAAGAGGAAAUUGGCUAAGUCCUGCGAGAGCAAGCUCUCGGGGACCGGUCUCUAGUGGACAGACCGGUCUCCGGGGGACCGGUCCUCCAGGGACAGACCGGUUCCCGUAAGUGUGUUCAGGCUGAAGGCUCUCGGGGACCGGUCCCUGGCAGGGAGAGACCGGUCCCUCUACACAUAAAAUUUUCCAGGCAGGCUGGGUCAUGUUGGAGGAGUUGGAAUUGUUUGAGUUUCGAGGACGAAACUCUUAUAAGGAGGGGAGAAUGUAACAUACCGAAUUUUAAAUAUAAAAGAGAAAAAUAAAUAAAAAUAGUAUGAGAUACUAUUUUAUUGGAUUUAGAGAAGUGAAAUAUCGGUUGGGAACGACCUGUGCUGAAAUCGGAGCGAAAACAGAAGAUUUAGAAUUUUCUGUUGGAAACGGGACUGAUAAAUUAGCAGAAAAUGCACAGUCUCAGAAAAUUAUAAAAAAUUAGAGGAUAAGUCAGAAAUAUUUUUAUGAGGCUAGAUUUGAAGUUUCAUAUUUUUCUGACGCCCGUAGAGAGAGAAAUAGCAUCCGAAAGCUAUCUGAUAAAGAUUGCAGUUCGGUACAGUUUUCAGUGACCAAACGGGGUCGAAACUGAAAUAUUAAAAUUUCUUUGGACUUAUUAAGUAAAACCGAGCAUGCCUGUCAAAUUUGAGCUCAAACGGACAUUCAGAAGGGCUCCGGCGAAAAAUAAACUGCCCGAAGUGAAUAGUGCGUAGUUGAGGGGCAAAAUGGUAAAAAGGGUUUAAAACCCCUUUUCUUCUUCUCCUCCCAACCGUGGCUGCCCCAACCGCACACACCACACACGCAUACACAAGAACACACACACGCAUGGAAAGGAAAGGAGAGAAAUCCCUUUCUCUCUCUAAAUCUCUCCCAAAAUGGAUGGAUUUGGUGGAGAUUGAAGCUUGGAGGUGGAUCGCCUUCGUCUUCUUCAUCUUCUCCAUGGUUUGGAGCUCAUUUUGAGGUGAGCUUCUUGAGCCCUUUAAUGGUAGAUCUUUAAUGCUUGGUUUAAAUAC